GGCCUAAUUUAGUAUAUAUUCUCACCAAAAGAUCAACUAUGGCGAACAGCAAGAAUCGUUGACCAUCACAAAACCCUUCAGAUCUGCUUAAAUACAUAUCGAUGGAUUCAGCCAUUUCUUCCUUUCUUACCACAAUACAUACAGUUUUUCCAUGAAACUGAAACUGUGCAGGAAAUGAAUCCCCGAAGUGUAUCUUCAAUCGAUGAGAUGAUAACCAUCGUCCAGAAGCACGAAAAUUCAAAAACUCCGACGACUUCAUAUGGCCCUCCUCCACCACCACCAGAACCACCACCACCAUCCAAUCUAGAUCUACCUGGAAAUAGAGACGAUAUCCAUAAGUUCAACGUUCCUGUUGGCAAACGCCCAAAUCUGGUAGGGUUUGACAUCAGUGAAAAUUAUGAUACUUCACUUCACAUUGCAACAUCUGCAAACAUCAGCAAGACAGUGGAAAAGUUUGUGAAAAACCAUGUGUGUCAUCUCACAAUGGAACAGUUAGAACAUCAAAACAAAUAUCACAACACUUCACUGUGUAUAGUAUCAACAAAUGGAUAUGUCAGAAUCGUUAAGACUAUGGUGAAUAAGAAUAUGGUCCUAUGGCAUCAAGGAAGAAUGCGACUCUACAUGGCUUGUUUUUUUUGAAUAAGCGAGUUGUGUAGAAGCUGAUCUCUUUGAUGUUGCCUUGAAAAUAGUGUAUUGAUGCGGAAAUGGGAAACACUGAAUUUAUAGUUGAGCUCAUUCGACACUAUCUAGAGUUAUUAUGGAAGAAAAAUGAUGAUGAGCAAACUAUAUUUCAUGUAGCUGUCACAUACUGUGAUGAAGGUAUCUGCAAUCUUCUGCAUGAGAUCGGCUCACUGAAGGAUAUGAUAACUCCUCUCAAGGACAAGGAAGGAAACAAUAUGUUGCAUUUAGUUAGGGAAACCGAAAUAAAUCGACUUCAAGAUGUUUCAGAAGUUUUUCAAAUGCAACGUGGACUACUAUGGUUCAAGGAAGUAGAAGUUAAUGAUGGAGCGAAUAGAAGAAUCUACUCUCUGCAAAUGAGAAGUGGAUGGUGGUUGCGACACUCAUAGUUUCUUUGUUUUUUCCAAGGACAAGUUUGCGAGACUUCAAUAUGAUAUUCUAAUGGAUGUUUAUCGUUGAUCCCUUGUUUUUAAUGUAAAAGUGUCAUUUCAAGAAAAAGAAUAAAUGUAUUUUAUAAGCAGUGAUGCUUGAUGGAUUCAAGUAAAGCACAAAUUAUUUUGCUUGUCGUAUUUUUUUGGAAGCUCAAAUGUAUAUAUGCGUGCAUACAUGUAUUUUCA